rnacentral:rRNA from 1 species
UGCCCUUCCUACGGGAGGCAGCAGUGGGGAAUUUUGGACAAUGGGGGCAACCCUGAUCCAGCCAUCCCGCGUGUGCGAUGAAGGCCUUCGGGUUGUAAAGCACUUUUGGCAGGGAAGAAAAGCCGCGGGUUAAUACCCUGCGGUGCUGACGGUACCUGCAGAAUAAGCACCGGCUAACUACGUGCCAGCAGCCGCGGUAAUAAGGGC